GGCGAACGCUGGCGGCGUGCUUAACACAUGCAAGUCGAACGGAAAGGCCCUGCUUUUGUGGGGUGCUCGAGUGGCGAACGGGUGAGUAACACGUGAGUAACCUGCCCUUGACUUUGGGAUAACUUCAGGAAACUGGGGCUAAUACCGGAUAGGAGCUCCUGCUGCAUGGUGGGGGUUGGAAAGUUUCGGCGGUUGGGGAUGGUCUCGCGGCUUAUCAGCUUGUUGGUGGGGUAGUGGCUUACCAAGGCUUUGACGGGUAGCCGGCCUGAGAGGGUGACCGGCCACAUUGGGACGGAGAUACGGCCCAGACUCCUACGGGAGGCAGCAGUGGGGAAUAUGGCACAAUGGGCGGAAGCGUGAUGCAGCAACGCCGCGUGCGGGAUGACGGCCUUCGGGUUGUAAACCGCUUUCGCCUGUGACGAAGCGUGAGUGACGGUAAUGGGUAAAGAAGCACCGGCUAACUACGU
rnacentral:rRNA from 1 species